ensembl:lncRNA
CAAAAGCCAGGUUUUGCUUGCGCCAAAAAAUAUUCUGACUUAUAAAACCCUGCGUAUACGCACACCUGUAAGCAAUCUUUGCUUUAUAAAUCAGAGUGCCUACAAGUGUGCGCAGCUGAAUCAGCUUCACGAUCCGCCCUGUACACGCCCCUUUUAACCAUAAAUGGCCACAGCAAACGACCUCAUGAAUGCGAUCUGCAUUUAAAACAGACUCAAAAGCAAGUAGUAUGUCUUGUCGGAAACAAUGGCAGAAGGACUGAGAAGCGAAAUUUCACGGAGGUUGAAGUGAAGACUCUUGUGGGUGAGGUGGAGACCCGAAAAUUAGUUUUGUUCGGCGGUCACUGGACUGGUCAUUAACAACAAAAAACAGUGAGUGGCAACAUGUUGAUGCGGCAGUGAACUCGGAGUGGCACGGAUGUCAGUGGCACGGAGCGCACAUGCAGUCCCAGAAUGAAAAAAGUGGUCUGACGUAAAGGUGGAUGCAAAGCGGAGGCUGUCCUCACACCGCUAGAGCGUUACUACAACUUGGGGGUACCCAACCUACUCCUGACCUAACACCAAUUGACACAAGUAAAAUCCAUAAUUGCCACCGGACGCGUGAGUGGCAUCGUGUCCGAAAGGGAAGGAGACACUGACAACACAGAAGAACAAAAGUCAGCGGUCGGUGGGGAGGAGGACGAUGAUGCCCGCGAGGGGCCCUCGGCCGCAGGCCAUGCCCCCCCCAGCACCACGCGCCAUUCCGCCGGUCGGGUGCUCAGACACAGUUCUGCAGCUACAGAGGGAAACGAUAGAUGCAGUCAACAACUUGACUUGAGGAGAUGAGACUCCAUGGAGAAUUCCCCUGCCUCUGAUAGGAAAUGUUAUCACCGAAAUUGCCACAAUAUUAAAAGAUACUGUGAAAAAAUGAACCUUGAGUUGUCUUAAUUUCAUAAACGCCGCAUGACUUCCGCAUGUCUUGCACCCUGUGGAAAUCCC